GCCUUCGGGGUGUGGUCAGCACAUUGAGCCGGUAUUUCAGAGGUCCGUGGUUCGAUCCCCGGCGAAGGCA
rnacentral:tRNA from 1 species